UUUAUGAUUUUUUAUGUAUUUUAUAUUCUUAAAUUAUUUGUGGCUGUUCAUAUUCAGCAUUGUGCAAUCAGAUGUUGCAGUAGCCUUUUAUUUUAUCUUUUUAGUUUAGGUUCAUGUCAGGGCUGUGUUUUUGUUUUCUGCAUGUGGAUGAAAGUAAUGGACAUGUUAACAUUAAAAUGAAGGUUAACAUUCUUUGCACUUUUUCCAUUUGAGGAACCAGACAGUAUUAUUUGGUUUGCAUUUUUGGCAGGCAGCUGUCACAGUGUUGGCAUUGUAAUCACAAUGAACAAUGAAGAAAUGUGUUUUUUUGUUUUAACAUGGUUAUUUUUCCAGGAAAGUGGAAGUUUAAUAUUAUAAGGCUUUUCAUAUAAAGAUUUUCAAAGUAAAGCUUCAUGUAUGUUUGUGCGUUAUAAAGCUAGAACGAUAUAUCAGCAUAUAUAUUAGCUUAUUGCAGAUAUCAGUAUCGGUGUUGGGACCACUGGGACUCCACAGAUGAAUUUGUUCAUAUGUGACUUUAACUGAACAUAUUAAGAAUGCAUGCUCUUUUGUUCUGUAAACAAACGAGCACCACUAAACUCAGUCUCCCACAAUCCAUAGGUAUUCACACCUACCCUAGAUGUGAACUCCUUUUAUGCCCCCUCUUCCAGCUACCAUUGGUCAUUCUGACCUGUGACCCGUGAUGUCACCAGGUCAAUAAAAGGGUCAGCGACCAUUGUUCUUUUUCUCUCUUUUCUCCUCGCUCCAUGCCCAGACCUCGUGUAAUCUACUCGGAGCAGAAACACCAAACUGAACUCUCUGAUCUUUCAACAGCGUCACGGAUUCUGCAUCAAAGCUUAGUUAGCGCCAAUGGCUACUGCACAAAGUCUGCCAGCUAACUUUUACAAGCAGCUAAGGAAGUUAGUGGCAAGCUAACUAUAAGGAGAACAAAUAACGGAGCAACCAGCUUCCUCAGACCCCUACAAUCGGAAUACUGCACAGCAAGGACUUUUCCCGAAACCACAGUUCUUCUCCACCUAGCUAAUCCACCACAGAACCACCAGCAAACGGAGCAGUACACCAAGACGAGGCCUUGAAACUCAGCCAGCAGGCCCCUCCACCCUCAUCUCACCGUCUUCUUCCUUCACAUCGAUGCUGAUCGGGUCUCUUUCUCACAGCUAACAUCAGCUGCUUUGUGACAUGAGACAGCACGCCAUCUUCCUUCGAGUCAGUUCAACUUACUCCUCUUGUCAUGAAACCCAACCUCAUUUGAUCAGACAUCUAAAACACAGAGCAGUAUUGCUCCUUUAACAUGCUGACUCCAAUGAGCUGUAUAAAAAUCUUUUCCAGGAACAAGGAACUUAAUUGUUGAGUAAUUUCAACAAGGUAUCUGCAAAAGGUAUUCAUGUAGAUCAGGGGUUGUCAGAGUCUGACACUGUGCCCCCCCGCCCAGACAAACUUGCCCCAACUCAAUCUGGCACUUUUAAAAGUAUGCCGAAUUAGUUAUCAGCAAUUCCUGUUUGCAGCUUACCCAUGGAUUUACAGACAACUAUCACUGGAUUACUUUGAUACUGAAGAAACUUUAAAAAUGUGAUGAUUCUCGUUCUUAAGUUAUUAGGAGGGUCUUUUUUACUGUGAUUUCUAAGCAAAUUUAUGGACAAUUAUUUGUGAUGGACAUCAGGGAUAAUGAUAUCCUCGGAAAGGGUAAGUCACACUGAAUCUAAAAAUAUGUGCAUCAUGUCUGUGUGUUCAGAUUUGUUAUGACUCAGAGAACAAGUGCAAUUUUUGACGCUGAUUGCGACAAUUGCGUGCUAUGGGUUUUGAAGUAACUUAAUUGCCGACAUGGACUGUGUGUCACAGUUACUGUUGCUGCUUUAACUGUUGAUUAUGUUGGUGAUAGGCUCAAAUCAGCGGGCCAAACUACACUAACUAACUUCCUAAUGGUUUUAGAACACCGGUAUGCACCUGUCCCUUUCACCUAACACGGUAUCUUUACCUCAUGUCUCUCCCUCUGUGCCCCCUCUUCAACUCUCCUACGCCACCCUUGGGAAGCACGUCUCACAGUUUGAAAACCUCUGAUGUAGAUAAACACAGAUGUGGAUGAAAAUGUAAUCUUGCCACUAAACUGGAACUGAAACAAAUGCAAAAUAUCCAAAUGUUGGGCAGGCCGCGCACCUUGCCCAUGAUUUCAUCCCAGUGUACCAUCAGUUAUACAGUUGGGUUAUGAUUUAACAAUCUUCCAUGCCCGAUGUCCAUGCAGCAUACUGAGUCAAAUCAAAGUGACACACAGGGACAAUACGAGGGCCUGGUUAGCAUGGUACUUAUGUUAAACUUAUAUAUCAGAGAAAAGAGCUAGUUUACACACCUGUGACAGCUAGAAACAAAUACAUAUGAGGACAGCAACAGUUUUAUCAUCAGAAUAACUGUAACUCACUAUGGCCAUAAUGUAAGAGGAGCACCUCUACAGUAAGUCAUUGCCACUAAGUAAACAAAGUGGUAUAUUGUAGGAAGAGACAGCAGAAGCAGAGAUUGUGUGGUGAGACAUAAAACACAGUUCAACUUAUUUUAUUGCACUUUCGUAAAGCGCAUGUUUUUGUUGAAAUUAGAAGUUAUUGUUUUGGAAAAACAACUGGUGGUGACUACAAGGCUUCUAACAUUAAUACAUCUAUCAAUUCGAGAAAACUGACUGAAAGCAAGAAAUAUUGUUGAAAGAGUUGCUGCCUGAGAAGUCAGCUACUGCCUAUCCAGACAAUGGUCGGUGCUUUUAGAAAAUAUUGUGUUACAGGUACUGUAUCAUGAAAAGAGUCCGCAUCUUCCUCUCCAACUGGGCUAAACCAUCUUCUUUAGCGGCAUUAAACUUGGCUCUCUCACCACAUCCUAUAAUUCCUCCUAUCACUGCUAUGACACUUAACUGUCCUUUUGAUUCCCAGCUCUGACACACAGGUUGGGUUGCAUAUCUCCAAUUUACUAGCUGAGAUCUCCAAUUGGAUUCCUGCCAAACACCUCCCGAUUGACCUUGACAAGACUGAGCCGCUGUUCCCCUCUCAGAAAUCCUGCUCUUAACAACAGCCGUCAAUCACAAUGACACCCGCACAGUCGCUCAUUCCCAGACCGACGUUUAGUUUGAUCUUAGACAACCAACUGCUACAGCUGCUAUUGCAGAUUUGCUGUGUGUAAAAUCUGCUGACUCAGACGCAGUUGCUUGUGCAAACACUCUUUGUCUCCCAUCUGGACUGCUGCGGCUCCGAUCUGGCUGAGCAACCUGAAAAUAACUGCAACAAGACAGUUGUCAAACUAAACUUCAAAAUGUACUUGGGCUUGUUUCCUAUUACUGUAAUAAAAAGUUGUAAUAUACCGCAUGCAGAUCUCAUUUAAGAUACUGAAGAAUUACUGAAGCGACUGUUGAUGUACAGUCCUUACAUCAACAUAUUUACACUACAUUACCCAACUUAUAAGGGAAGCUUUGGAUUAAUAUUUCUCUAAUGAGGAAUCAAAAGGAAUCAAACAGCAAAUUUAUACAAUGCAAAAGGCAUCUGGGUAAAUUUGAUAGCAUUUCCCUACUUGUUUGUCCUCCCCUUUGUUCUGUAACUCAAUAUAACUGGAUAAUACUGGGAAAAAUACAUAAAGGAAAAGUUCAACAUUUUGGGAAAUAUGUUUGCUUGCUUUCUUCAUGUCUGUGCGGUAAAUAUGAAGCGACAGCCAGCAGCCAGUUAGCUUAGCUUCACAUACAGGCUGGAAGCAGAGAGAAAAAGCUAGCCUGAACAUUGUAUCUUGAUUUAUCCAUAAUCAUAUAAAUAAGACGUUAAGAAGUAUAAGAUGUUUUAGAGGUAUUGGCAAAUGUAUUUUUAACUUCAAACAGAGCCAGGCUAUCUGUUUCACCCUGUUUCCAGUCUGUGUGCUAAGCUAAGCUAACUGUCUCCUGGCUGUAGCUCAACAGAUAUGAGAGUGGUAUCAAUCUUCUCAUCUAACUCAGUUAAAUAUACAUUUACCAACACCUCUAAACAGAUUGAUUUAUAUGAUGUAUCUUGUUUGUUUAACCCGUAUAUGAACAGAUAUGUGAAAAGGAAAAUUUGUGAUUUUAAGGAGUGCUUUGGAGCUAUCUCUCACCGCUUGACAAAACAUGUCCUGAUUCUUUGUACAGACAGGCUGGAAUUUGUGCAACCUGCACAAACACAAUAAGUCACUAUGUUGUAAAACUCAGCUCAGGGACACAGGCUCCUUUAUGUGAUGUCAUCUGACACAAUAUGAAAAAAAAGCCCUUUUUAAGGGUACUGCUCAAAAGUGCAGACUUUUCCCUCUGAAUUUCUGCCCUUAUAUCUUAUAAAAUCAUACGUCACUUUUCAAAUGAUCAUUUCUAUGAAAUGUUAAGUAUAGAUUCAGUAAGAAAUUCAACUUGCUCUUUAACACACAUGACAUGGAAUUUGUAUCAAUCUUCUCAGCUUACUUUCAAAAAGAAAGCAAAUAAGCGGAUUUCCCAAAACAUUAACUAUUUAUUAAAGUCAUAAUCUGUAUGUCAUGCUUUGGAAACUGAUGACUAAUCAUAAAGUGAUCAAUUUUGCCUACAAAAUAUCAGGUGUCCAUGUUGAGGUUUAGGCUUUGUUACAUAUCUCUGUUGUUAUAGUGCAUCCCGACUGUAAGUUUCUGUUUCCAUGUAUAUAAAUGAAAGAUUCACUGAU